ACAAGAUAUAAUACAGAACACUAUGUGUUUUAAACAUUGUACACCAUUUUUAUUGAUCCUUUUUGUUAUAGUUGGCAACAAAUGUUGUUACACAGAAAUAUGUACAGUUGGCAUUUUCCCCCCUUAUUUCAAACAACCAGAAAAAACUCUUGCAUGGUAUUGUAAUGCUAAAACAUUCAGAUUGUAUUGUCCAGUUCUGCCACACUCACUCUUAAAAUUAUAAUAAAUGCAUCUGAAACUGUUCACUAGCUUCAAAUUAUAUACUAACAACUAACUAAAUGUCUGUGAACUAAUUUCUUUUUCUCACUAGUAAUACAAUAAUUAUUAGACAAACAUAGCCCACAGCAGAACAAGUGAAAAUCUAUUAACACCUAAUUCUUCAUUUUCUAAAGAAGCAACCAAAAAAAAAAGACAAAAUCUCAGAAACAUGUAUAAACAUUCUGUAUUGCAACCUUUUAAGACCACUAUUUGGAUCAGUUCAAAAACUCAGCAGAUCAGAAGACACAAAAACACUUCCACUCAUUAAUCUAAACAUUUCUAACCUUUUCAUGCGUAAAAACAAAUUUUGAAAGUAAUAUGAUUGUAACUCAAAACAAAGAUGAUUUGGUAAACUAACAGUUUCCAAUGAACAAAAAUGGCAAAAAAAUACAAAUUACAGUGAUAAAAGAAACCCUGUCAAGCAAAGGAUUGGUCCAAAUAGGUCUUGAUUCGGGUAUUUAGUGUAAUCUGACUCCUACCUUGCCCAUUAUUUGACCCACUGCACCAAUUCACAAAGCCUAUCUUCACAAGAGAAACUGCCUAGCACCAUUACUCUAAAUCCAGGAAUUUAAUAGCAAGGGUAUAUCACUAUAAUGAGCAAUGACUUCUUACUUCUUUGUUGAUAAGAUAAGAUAAAUGCUAAAAUUUAUUUUGUUUCCAUAAUUUCUGUUUUCCGCUAACAGACAUUUGAACAAAAUUGAUAUGUGGUUAAAAACUUGAAUAUGAAAUGCAAUGUGUAAACAGGAAAAAGAAAAAAACAGCAUAAAAAAGGGACAUAAUCACAAUAAGGGGCUUGUUGUCAAGUCUGAAGAGUACAAUAUUUCACAUGGCUACACAGACACAGCGCCCAGUGUCAUAUCCUUUCCCUGGAUUUUAAAAGCUGCUAUAGCCUUUAAACAUCCACUACAGAGAAGGAGAUAUUAAAAGCUUUAGAAUAACUGGUGUGUUGGAUGGUAAUUGAAAAGUGACAUCAUUAACUCUUUCUCUCCCGACUGACGAUACCAACGUUGAUUCCCCCAGAAUGUGGUAAAUAAUUACGGAGAGAAAGAGUUAAGCCUACUUGUUGAUUUACACUCAAUAAAUAUCAAUACUUUUGACAGCUCAAUUAAAAUGUGGUCAUGCACAUUCAAAAAUAAUUAUAAUACACAUUUUCUUUCAGUUUCAUGUGAAGGCUUUAUGAUCCUUCAGUUUUUUAAACCAGUUAAAAAGAAAGUAAACAAUUUGAUUCUGAUUAAUCUCUGGUAUCAACCAGCUAGGAAACAAACCAACAUAGAACCACAUAACUCAUUAUUGGAACAAAAUCAAGCUAUUUAUAGUAUUUGUCAUACUGCUAGUAGUUUGACAGGGCUACUAGUAUUUCCUCUGAAUAUAUUGCAGUUAUAAAACAAAAAAAAGCAAGUAGAACAAACAAUUUUCUAACUAUUUUGCAAGAUCAUCAUUGAGAUUGGACUAACAACCACAACUAACAUUUCCAUAUUGUUGACAAGUUAAAAGGUUGUGACAGUUAUUGUAUUUCUAUGGCUUUAAUACGUAAGCUAUGCAUGUUUUCAAACUUUCCUUUAGCAAUAUGAUUGACAUGACAUCUUCAAUAAAAGUACAAAUGCAUGGUCGCUUUAAACUUUUUAUUCUGUUUCCCUCUUGCUACUCUAUUUUAACAAACUUGGUUGAUACAUGUGACAGUCAGAGGAUAUUAUAAGCUACUGUUUUUAUUUUAUUUUAAAGCAUUCUGAAAAUUGGUAAGAUUCAGAUCAAGUGAAUUUGCAUUUUUAAGACAAAUGGUUUUUCAUGAGAAAGUUUUAACCCCUUUUUUUGUGUGGCUAGACUGACUUGGUCAAAAAGCCUCACAAAUAACCUGCUACAAGGAAUAUACAAGUGACAAGUAUAAGUCACAUUAAAAUAAAUGAAGAACUUUGUAGAUAUAGAAGAAACACUGUAAUACAUUUCUGGCUCAGUUGAAAAUUAACAAUUUAUUAACUUGAUGCAAUACAGAAGAGGCCAAGGACCAUCAGCUGUGAAACAAGAUGCCAAUAGAAAAACAAACAAAAAGGUUUUAAAAAAAAUUAAACUUUUUCAAAUAUACUUGAUAUAGUUCAGGUUUUGUUGAGAAGCAUUGUAACUAAAUUAAGUUCAGAUUUUCAAAAACUCAACAGACAAACAUGUAUGCAGUGACUUUAUACUUUGCCAGAGACAUGUAAAUUAAAAUGACGAGACUGUACCUAAACUCAUACAAAGCUAGAGAUCCUAAACAAUCAAUGAAUUCACUUUUAAUCAUUUAACAGACGCAGAAGACAAAACUUACUGCUAGCAGCGAUUGCUCUAAUAUACAUCAUUGCCUUAAUCAUUAGUUACAAUAUUUAGCGUUGUUUUGCAAAUAAAAGAUUCAAAAUGACAAGGGUAUUACACAUUCCAGAACAGCUUAAAUAGAAAUUUUACUGUCCAAUCUGUCAAACUAAAUCUAAAUGGAAUUGAUUUUAAUCACAAUAGCUAGCAGAUAAACAAGUAAAUUUGAAAAAAAAAA
rnacentral:sRNA from 1 species